GCACUUCAAUCAGAUCUUUAUCUAGCUCAAUUGGAAAGAUGUCAUGUUUAACUACUUUGGACCUACAUAAUACAUCAAUUUCUGAGUUGCCAGACGAGAUAUGUUUAUUGGAAAAACUUUGGGAGCUGAACCUGAACAACUGUUUGAAUCUUCAACAUCUUCCGGCUUCAAUUGGAAGCCUUAAGAGGUUGUGUUACCUCUAUAUGACGGAAACUGCU
rnacentral:misc_RNA from 1 species